rnacentral:rRNA from 1 species
GUGUCAGCAGCCGCGGUAAUACGUAGGUGGCGAGCGUUGUCCGGAAUUACUGGGUGUAAAGGGCGUGUAGGCGGGAAUGCAAGUCAGAUGUGAAAUGCCGAAGCUUAACUUCGGAGCUGCAUCUGAAACUGCGUUUCUUGAGUGCCGGAGAGGAAAGCGGAAUUCCCAGUGUAGCGGUGAAAUGCGUAGAUAUUGGGAGGAACACCAGUGGCGAAGGCGGCUUUCUGGACGGUAACUGACGCUGAGGCGCGAAAGCGUGGGGAGCAAACAGGAUUAGAUACCCUGGUAGUCCACGCUGUAAACGAUGGAUACUAGGUGUAGGAGGUAUCGACCCCUUCUGUGCCGGAGUUAACACAAUAAGUAUCCCACCUGGGGAGUACGGCCGCAAGGUUGAA